UACGAAGGGGGCUAGCGUUGCUCGGAAUGACUGGGCGUAAAGGGCGCGUAGGCGGUUUGCACAGUCAGAUGUGAAAUUCCUGGGCUCAACCUGGGGGCUGCAUUUGAUACGUGUGGACUAGAGUGGGGAAGAGGGUCGUGGAAUUCCCAGUGUAGAGGUGAAAUUCGUAGAUAUUGGGAAGAACACCGGUGGCGAAGGCGGCGACCUGGUCCUUGACUGACGCUGAGGCGCGAAAGCGUGGGGAGCAAACAGG
rnacentral:rRNA from 1 species